UACGGGGGGAGCAAGCGUUGUUCGGAUUUACUGGGCGUAAAGGGCGCGUAGGCGGUCAGCACAAGUCAGUUGUGAAAUCUCCGGGCUUAACUCGGAAAGGUCAACUGAUACUGUGCGACUAGAGUGCGGAAGGGGCAACUGGAAUUCUCGGUGUAGCGGUGAGAUGCGUAGAUAUCGAGAGGAACACCUGCGGCGAAGGCGGGUUGCUGGGCCGACACUGACGCUGAGGCGCGAAAGCGUGGGGAGCAAACAGG
rnacentral:rRNA from 1 species